AUGUUCACCAUUUUAGCAUGUUAGCAUGCUAACAUUUGGCAAAUACUGUAGCACUAAACAGAGUACAGAUGGGGUUCAUGAGAAUGUCAUUCAUUUUGCAGGGAUAUGGUCCAAAACCAAAGUACUGGAGAAAUGUUAAUGUAAUGAUAGGGCUAAAUGUAAGGUCAGGGGAUCACCAAAGACCAAAGUUGUUACAAUUCACACUUCAGGGGAACAUGAAUUGUUGCACAAAACAUUAUUGCAAUCCAUUCAAUGUUUGAGAAAUUUCUCUCUACACCAUGAAUGUCAACCUCAUCGUGGCGCUAGAGGAAAAGCCACAGGAUCAUUGAAGUCGUUACAAUACAUCAUCUGGGCACGAUGAAUGUUUUUAUCAAAUUUAAUGGCAAUCCAUCCAAUAGUUGUUGAGAUAUUUCUGUCUGCAAGCAGGAGUAAAUAGUGUAUUUUUUGGGAACUAUUUUCAGCAGUGGAUCAAACCACAUUUGGUCCUCUAGUGAGUAUUUAUUGCAGCAUUGCUCAUACAUGUGUUUUUUGGACAAUAGAGCUUUAUGACAGAGGACUAAGAUAUAUCCGGCUUUGGAUACCCACACAAUACUUUGUAGUCGGAACAAUUAAUUGUUGGUUUAGUUUUUUUCAUGUUGACAAUACGAGAAAUACAGAAUAACAGCAGCCUCGUCCUUUAACAAAGGAGUGAGGUGCCCAACCCUAACAAAACCUUAAGCAUAGAGGUGGCUGAUCAGAAAAUUUUCAUGUGGGUCAUCUUGGAAGGCUUGUGUUGGAAAUGUAUUUACAUACAAUCUGAAGAGAAUUAUAAAACUCUGAAGCCUUUAGAAAGUAUUGUGACAGAAAAGCUAUAUAAGGGCUUUAAAUCCGGAAGAAAAAGACCAACGUGAACAAAAUCUUUUCCCUCCCACAGCACAGAAUACAGUGCUAAAUCCACUGUAUACAUUUCCUGUGAGCUAUACAUAGAGAGAUAUAUUUAAACACAAUACACUGGAUGUUUUUUUAUUUUAUUCUUUUAUACGGAACAAAAGGAAACAAUGUGGGAGGCUAAAAUCCAGCCAAGUCAGUCUUCUGGGCUGCUGCAGGAGGAACCACAGAUGGAGAACGUAUAGAAAGGACUGCAGCAAGAACCUCGAGUAAAGAACAAAAGACGAAUACCAUGAGAUCAGUGUCAUCUUCCCACGUCCAAACAAUCACCAGUAACUCUCCAGCUGCUCAGCCUAAUGUCACACAAACGCAGCACGGAGGAGGAUCCUGUUGUUGUUGUUGUUGCCGCCUUUGACUGAGUCAGCAUGAAUACGCUGAUGCUGCCGCCUUCCUGAGUGGAUGAGGGGAAUCCUUCACUCUCUUUUUACGUAAGUGGUCUUGUUAGAGACAAUUUCACACAUCUCUUCUGUACGAUACACAGUGAGCUGCUGCUGACUUCAGAUUGUGCACAUUACAAUUCAUCAGCAGCAAGAACAUUUAUAAACAGGCUCUGACACAUUUGAACAACUUCAGUUUAAGAGCCGUCAGUUUUGUUUUUGCAUUUUUAGAAACUUGUUUGUCUGCAGGAUUCUCAUUGAAACACUUGAAAUAUGAGGCAUUUUAUAAUGUUCAAGACAUGAAGUGAACCUUUAGGGUGCCAUGUCAUCGUCAUAUCAUCGAUGCAAAGUGAAAAUUGCUGAUACAUAUCAUCAUCUUUAAGAUGCGCCUUUAUUUUGAAAUUGACAUGGGCAUCAUCUCAUAUUGAUUGAGGGCACCUGAAUUGAAUUAAAUCAAUAUAUUAUAAUUAUUAUUAUUAUUAUUAUUACCAAGGGGCCCUUUAAAUAGGUUUUCAGGUUUCCUGGAGAAUCUUCUACAGCAAACUAAGGAAAUGUUUGAUUUUAUUUAGUUGUAAAACUUCUGUCUCUGUUCAAAGGUGAUCUUUGGUGCAUGAUGUGAAUGGCCUCCAUGAUAACUGAGCCAGCUCUACCUGCUGAUGAAGACUGUGGGAUGCAAAAGAAAUAUCCAGGAAAAGUUAGUAAGUGGACUUUGAGAUUGUAUGGCUUUUUCAUUCAAAAUUGUAGAUUUUCUCACCAAAACAGUGACAGAUCUAUAAUUCAGCACUAAAUUAACAAAUAAAAACACUUAUGAGUCCCUCAAAACUAAAUAUUAUGAAUUAGACUCUGUAGUCAAAUGUGUGUCCAUUACGUGUAUAAAACAUAAAAACAUUUGGCAAGAAGAGAGACAGGGCUACGGGUUUGUCCGCUCUAGCCGAUGACUGGAAGCUGAAUAACUAAUGUGAGAAGUCUGACACUUUCUAAACCAAAAUCAAACAAACCACAAAGCCCUGGCCAUGCAAAACCCUGAUCAAUUCAUCAAUACAGGUCAACAGGGAGAUUCAAGACAGAAACAAACACCUUGUAUCCCCUUCUGUUAUGUCUCUCAGAGAAUAUCAAAUCAUUGUACUUAUAUGUUUAACCUACAAAAAGUCAAA